rnacentral:rRNA from 23 species
GACUGGCUCAGGGAGGUCGGCAACGACCACCCAGAGCCGGAAAGUUGGUCAAACUCGGUCAUUUAGAGGAAGUAAAAGUCGUAACAAGGUCUCCGUAGGUGAACCUGCGGAGGGAUCAUUA